AUAAGUGGGCUGCGGGACUGCUGGGGCUUGGCGGGACCUGGAGAGAAACUCUCCAGCUACUCCAGGGUGAGGUUUAUUCAUUGCAUUCCAGUUGUGCUGAACCCUGUGAUGUCCCCAAAUGUGGGAAAGUCAACUGUGUAAUUUAUUUAUAAUAUAAUAUAUGUAUGUAUUUAUUAAAA
rnacentral:snRNA from 1 species